rnacentral:rRNA from 1 species
CAAUAGCGUAUAUUAAAGCUGUUGCGGUUAAAAAGCUCGUAGUUGGAUUUCUGUCAAGGACAACUGGUCCGCCCUCCGGGUGAGCACAUAGUUUGGUCUUGACAUCUUGCUGGAGGCUGUUGCUGCACUUGGCUGUGUGGCGCAGUGUUCAGCACUUUCACUUUGAGGAAAUUGGAGUGUUUCAAGCAGGCACAUGCCUUUGGACACAGUAGCAUGGAAUAAUUAGAUUGGGCUUUUGCUCCGAUUGUCGGUUUCUGGAGCUGAGGUGAGUAUUAAUGGGGAUUGUUGGGGGCAUCCGAAUUUAGCCGUCAGAGGUGAAAUUCUUGGAUCUGCUAAAGACGGACAACUGCGAAAGCGUUUGCCCAGGAUGUUUUCAUUGA